GACGAACGCUGGCGGCGUGCCUAAUACAUGCAAGUUGAGCGCUGAAGGUUGGUACUUGUACCGACUGGAUGAGCAGCGAACGGGUGAGUAACGCGUGGGGAAUCUGCCUUUGAGCGGGGGACAACAUUUGGAAACGAAUGCUAAUACCGCAUAAAAACUUUAAACACAAGUUUUAAGUUUGAAAGAUUCAAUUGCAUCACUCAAGGAUGAUCCCGCGUUGUAUUAGCUAGUUGGUGAGGUAAAGGCUCACCAAGGCGAUGAUACAUAGCCGACCUGAGAGGGUGAUCGGCCACAUUGGGACUGAGACACGGCACAAACUCCUACGGGAGGCAGCAGUAGGGAAUCUUCGGCAAUGGACGAAAGUCUGACCGAGCAACGCCGCGUGAGUGAAGAAGGUUUUCGGAUCGUAAAACUCUGUUGGUAGAGAAGAACGUUGGUGAGAGUGGAAAGCUCAUCAAGUGACGGUAACUACCCAGAAAGGGACGGCUAACUACGUG
rnacentral:rRNA from 1 species